rnacentral:rRNA from 1 species
UACGGGGGGGGCAAGCGUUGUUCGGAAUUACUGGGCGUAAAGGGCUCGUAGGCGGCCAACUAAGUCGGAUGUGAAAUCCCCAGGCUCAACUUGGGAACUGCAUCCGAUACUGGAUGGCUUGAAUCCGGGAGAGGGAUGCAGAAUUCCAGGUGUAGCGGUGAAAUGCGUAGAUAUCUGGAGGAAUACCGGUGGCGAAGGCGGCAUCCCUGGACCGGCAUUGACGCUGAUAGAGCGAAAAGGCUAGGG